AUAUCUUUCUUAGCCUUUUGGCUUAGAUAAAGUAUAUUAUUUGUCGUUUUAAUAUCUGAUAUGUGGGUCAGAUGCCAACUUUAAUUUUAAAUUUAUUUUUAUGGGAAGGAUUCACU
rnacentral:snRNA from 1 species